GCAUCUAAUGAAUCUAAGGUUAUAGGAAAACAUGGAUGAGCUGACAUGAUGAAGAGUUUUGCAUAAGUGUGCGGGAUCAAAACUUCUUCUAAAAAACAUACGUACGUAUUAUUUGUAUAACUAGGUACUGAAAAUAUGAAAAAAAUGUCAACAUACAAAAACAAAUGCGGUAAGAUUCCUAGAUAAAAAAAUUAUAUUAAUAUGCCUAUGAUCAAUAAACAAAACUUUCAAUAAAAAAAUAAAAAAUUUGUACAUAUACAAGAGAAAACAACAAAACAUACAUUUAAUCGUUAAAAGUCAUGAAUUUGAAUAGUAUUGUUUUAACAUGAAAACUCAAAUAUUGUACCAACACAACAUAUA
rnacentral:lncRNA from 1 species